CAACCAAAAAGGCUGGACUUAUAAAUCAAGGAGAGUAUGUGUAGACAUCAAAUUCAGUUAGAAAGGAAAGUGUUAUGGUGUUAAUGAGAAUGCAAUAAUUUAGUGUUAACAGAAACUAGCAAAACAAACAACUAAAGAGAAUCCCGUUAGUUCAGAGAGAUGGUGGAGGGGAGUCAAGGAAUGAAGAGGAAGAGCUGUAUGGGUGAAAGCACAGACGUCACACUGCACUUCUCCAGGUCCAGCGUAAGAGUGACCAGGAGGUUUCUUCAGUUUAUCCACCACUUUAGCCAGCAUGAUGUUUUUAGCUAAAUCAGGCGUUGGGUUGAAGAUCCGUCUGCACUGAGGGC